rnacentral:lncRNA from 1 species
CCUCCAAACUAGUGCUUGGCAAAGAGCAAACCAUUUAUUUUGCCGAGAGCCAAGCGUCUGGCACUCAGCACAGGUGUAUCGAAUCUCCAAAUUCGAUGGUUUGAAAAUUGAUAUUCGCGUUACUUAGCGUAUGUUAAGGUCGUACCCAGUAGCACGCAUGAAAUAUCGAACAUCUCGCGCACAGAACUCGGAGCGAGUUUGAUAUUUCAUGCGUGCUCCUGGGUACGGCCUUAACAUAAACGUGAAUAUCAAUUUUCGAACCGUCGAAUUCGGAGAUUCGUUACACCUGCAAUUCAAACCCGUGUUUAUCGGAGAAAUUCAAUUAAAUCAAAUAAACUAACAAUAUAUAAUAAAAAAAUUUUAAAAAUAUCAAAACUUAAACAUGUACUAUUAAAUAAUGUGUAAUGCAUAAAAAAGGUUUGGAAACAAAAAGCAAAAAAUAAAAGAAAAAUUCUUUGAAGCGGCAAAGGCUAACGGCAGGC